ACCAGUCCAUUUUUAUUCCCUUUGCUCAUGUGUUCACAUCUCUGUACACCUUAUAUCUGCUUCUGUAGGAUUCUAAUUCCGUGUUACAAUUACGAACUUCAACUAUAAAUUGGUUGAAUCGUAGUAGAGCCAACACUUGAGUCCAGACGGGAAGCAAAUACUUUAUAAGAUUAACAAAAUCGAAAUGGCAUCACUCAAGGUCGAGAAACCUGUUGGCACUCAACCCUCUGCCGGGCAGGCCAAGAAAGAGCCUGCACCGAAAGCUAGUGGUUCCACGCCCAAAGCUCCGGCCUCCAAACCUGCCCCUAAGAAGGCUGAGACAAAGCCUAGGGAAACUAGGAAGAAGACAACAGGAAGCAAGCCUGCAGCCAAGAAUUAGACUAAAGCAACGGCGUGAGGCGAGGAGUGCAUGAAGAUUCUAAAUCACUGUGGUCUUCCAUAGUUCAUAUAUUCUGAUAAUACUAUGUAUCUCCUUUUAGGCUUGGCCUAAUAAAUAAAAGAUACCGUUAUUUUAGAGGAA